CCCCCAAAUGAUGAACCCUAAAAAAAUUCCCAAAUUCUAAAUCUUCAAUUUAUCACCUUCUUGCUUGCCGCUUUCAAUCCUUGAUUCCGUCAUAUCACUUCAAUUACCAAGUUUUUUUAACCAUGGAAAGUGAAGCAACUACAAUGUCAAUGCAGGUAGAUGAUGAGGCUGAUGAAUCUAAUGCCGCCCGUAAGCGUAAAAGGAGUAGGAAAUCUAAAGUUUGGCGAGAAAUGACGGAAGGAAAGAAUGCAAAAGGUGAGCGAAUCGCUAUUUGUAAGCAUUGUAAAGUGGAGUUAAUUGCCCACAAUAAUAGUGGCACAUCUCAUUUAAUACGUCAUUUGCUUGAUGUGUGUAAAAAACGAACUAGUGGACUUCCACUUGGGGAGGCGGUUGAGGAUGAGGAAGAAUUUGUUUUUGAUAUGAGUGAAUUAAGAAAAGAGAUUUUAUUAUAUGUUGUUGAAGGCUCUCAUUCUUUUUCGACUGUAAAAGAAAAAGGUUUUAGGCGGAUGAUGUUAAAGGCUAAUUCUAAAUUUAAACCAUUUAGUCGAGCAACUUUAACAAGAGACCUUUUUUCUUUGUAUGCCUCUAAUAGAGACAAAAUAAAAAAAAAAAAAUUUGAGGAAUGCACCCGGACGAAUUUGUUUGACAAUUGAUAAUUGGAAGUCAUCACAUACUUGGCAACAUUACAUUUGCAUAACCGCCCAUUUUAUUGAUCAUGAUUGGAAACUUCAUAAAAGGAUUAUUAAGUUCACAUCAUUGUCGCCCCCCUUUGAUGGACAAAGCAUCUCCGAAGAGAUUUUUAUGUUUCUUAAUCAAUGACAUUUAGAUGACAAAGUACUUAGCUUAACGGUUGACAAUGCAAGUUACAAUGAUGUGAUGGUUAAACACAUGAAAAAUCGUCUUGGAUCAAGGGGUAUGUUGGUUAGUGGUGGUUGUUUUUUUCAUAUAAGAUGUUGUGCUCAUAUCAUCAAUCUUAUUGUCCAAUCCGGUCUAUCUUGUAUUGAGAACAUAUUAGAUAAGAUUAGAAACUUGGUAAAAUUUGUUACAAGAACAUCUUCUAGAAGCAAGGACUUUUAUGAUACCGCUCAAAAGCAUUUUCAUUUAGAGGCUAAGAGGAAACUUCGUAUGGACAUGCAAGUUCGUUAGAACUCUGCAUAUAUGAUGCAUGAUAAUGUGCUUUACUAUAAAGAUGUGUUUAUUCAUUUGGGGUCAUUACAUGCAUAUUUCAAGAGUAAUGUGCCUUUAGAUGAUGAAUGGGAAAAUUUGAGUGUUGUUCACAAGUUUUUGAAACUCUUUUAUGAUGUUACAUGUAUGUUCUCGGCCAAUAAGUCUCCAACUUCUAACAUGUAUUUUAAGGGAGCAUGUAUGGUGCAUCGUCGUUUACUUGAGACAUCUAAAGGUCCACAUGAAUUUUUAGCUCAAAUAGUGUUACCUAUGUUGGAAAAAUUUGACAAAUAUUGGUCCGAGUAUAACAUAUAUCUAGCUUGUGCGGCAAUUCUUGAUCCAAGGUUUAAGUUAAAGUUUGUGGAGUAUUGUUUUGACAAGAUAUAUGGUUUGGAUGAGGCUAUGUGUAAAGUUGAAAAAGUGUUGAACACUUUAAGAUCUUUGUAUAAUGAGUAUAAGUCAACAUUUUCAACUUCCCCAAUUGUUGUUCCCUCUACUACAAGUAGUAGGAUUGAAGAUGAAAACUUCUUUGAUGAUUAUCAAAGCUAUAGUUCAAGAAUUACAAGGACUCAAACAAAAAAGUCCCAACUUGAGUCAUAUUUGAAGGAAUCGGAGCUUGAUUUGGACAUGGAGCUAGAUAUUUUAGAGUAUUGGCAACAAAAUGCCGUGAGAUUUUCGGAGCUUGCAAUAUUGGCACGAGAUCUUCUAACAAUUCCGGUUAGUACGGUGGCUUCCGAGUCGGCUUUUAGUGUAGGGGGAAAACUAUAUCUCCUAAUCGUAGCUCAUUGAAACCCUCAACGGUUCAAGCCCUAGUUUGUGUUCAAGAUUGGCGUCGUGAUGAAUAUAACAUCCCUUCAAAUUUGGAUUGUGAUUCUAGCUCGGAUGAUGAUGAGUCCGUUGAUGAUGGAGAUGAUGAUGAUGAGGUUGAUGAUAGUUUCCUAUACUAGGGAAGUUGGCUCAUAGAUUGAAGAAAGAAGGAGCUAAGAUACUAUUGGCAGCAGGUGAUACAUUUCGAGCUGCUGCAAGCGAUCAGCUUGAGAUCUGGGCUGAGCGAACAGAUUGUGAAAUUGUAGUGGAAGAGAAAGAGAAGGCAAAAGCAUCGUCAGGUGGGAAAUUGUAGUGGCUGAUGACAGAUGACAGUGCAAACUGACCUUAAGAUUGUGCUUUCUGAAUAGUUCUUACUUAGGCUGUUAAAAGAGGAAAAGAAGACAAAUUUGAUAUUGUUCUAUGUGAUACAUCUGGCCGUAAGCGCUCUGCAUCUCUGAAAACUUCUGCUGUAGACCUUUUUUUUUUGGGUGGUUUUGUUAUAAGCAACUUCAUUUCCGUAGGUCUUCAUACAAAUUACAGUCUCAUGGAGGAGUUGAUAGCCUGUAAAAAAGAUGUGGGUAAAAUAGUUUCCGGUGCUCCUAAUGUAAGAAGCUUAAUAACUUCCAUAUCAUUAGAGUUGCUAUUUAAUUUAACAGAAAUGGUUUUCUGGUUGCAAGGCCCUUUAUAA